rnacentral:rRNA from 1 species
GAUGAACGCUGGCGGCGUGCCUAAUACAUGCAAGUCGAGCGAACAGACGAGGAGCUUGCUCCUCUGACGUUAGCGGCGGACGGGUGAGUAACACGUGGAUAACCUACCUAUAAGACUGGGAUAACUUCGGGAAACCGUAGCUAAUACCGGAUAAUAUAUUGAACCGCAUGGUUCAAUAGUUAAAGACGGUUUUGCUGUCACUUAUAGAUGGAUCCUCGCCGCAUUAGCUAGUUGGUAAGUUAACGGCUUACCAAGGCAACUAUGCGUAGCCGACCUGAGAGGGUGAUCGGCCACACUGGAACUGAGACACGGUCCAGACUCCUACGGGAGGCAGCAGAAGGGAAUCUUCGGCAAUGGGCGAAAGCCUGACGGAGCAAAGCCGCGUGAGUGAUGAAGGACUUCGGAUCGUAAAACUCUGUUAUUAGGGAAGAAAAAAUGUGUAAGAAAAUAUGCACGGCUUGACGGUACCUAAUAAGAAAGCCACGGCUAACUACGUG